rnacentral:lncRNA from 1 species
GGUGCGUUAUCAGUGCUUAAGAUUGCGUUACAUCGCGUUAGCGUCGCGUUAAACUCGCGUUAAAGCCUCGUAACGCGAAUUUAACGCGACGUAACGCGAUCACCCGUCGUCAUAGUGUGGACUAGAGAGACAUGGAAUGUGGGGUGGAUGUGCAUGUCAGGUGGUAGUUGCAGCUCGACUGCAGUAGACCCAACCAUGCGAACAACAGG